rnacentral:misc_RNA from 1 species
AUGAAAUGUAAGAGUGCUCUUUUUAGAGGCUCGGCCCAUUCAUUUUCUCACCCUGUGCACAAACUCAUUUUUACACCCAUUUUUAACACUGUAGUAAUAAGAAUGUGAAUAGUCUCUUGAUUGAGCAUAAAAUUAUUA